UGAUGUAUACGUUUUCGCACUUUUCAAUGAGGACUUAAAGCCUGGUCCGACGUCAGAAAGGAACUAUGGGCUAUUCUACCCUGAUGGUACCCCAGUUUAUAACAUUGGAUUACAGGGUUAUCUUCCAGAGUUAACUUAUUCUUCAGCAUCCACGAUAAAUGUUUUAUCUGUAUUCAGUGCAGUGAUCUAUGUUAUGAUAAACUUAAUCUGUGCUUAGGAGCACCUGAAUUCACUGGUAGAGGGAGGGAGAGACUAACACAAUCAAAUUCUUAGAGAUCGUAUAACUGCA
rnacentral:misc_RNA from 1 species